AUUUUUCUGCAUUCUCAUCAGCUAAAACACCAUAGAAACGUUUCCUUAAGCUGUUUCUUCAUAUUUUUACUACAAGUGUUGAUGGUGGAUUUGACAACAAUGAACUAGAAUAUGAAGAAACUCACAAAAUAGUCAUUUUGCCUAGCUAUGAAAAUCUUCCUUUUCCAUCUGUGGAGUUGCCUGAGAAGGUAUGGAUUGUUUCAUUUUUUAUUUUUAAAGAAUUUUAAAAUCAGAAGGCUGGCAGUUGAUGCUAUUUUAAUGGCUGAGAGUGCUGAACGGAAAGAGCAUAUGGGUAUUAAGGGUUUAACGAAGCUUCUAGCAGACAAUGCGCCAAAGGCCAUGAAGGAACAGAAAUUAGAGAGCUAUUU